rnacentral:tRNA from 1 species
UCCCUGGUGGCCCAGCAGGUUAAGGAUUCUGCACUGUCACUGCUGUGGCACAGGUUCAAUCCCUGGCCAGGGAA